rnacentral:rRNA from 1 species
CAUUACCGAGUUUACAACUCCCAAACCCCUGUGAACAUACCUUAAUGUUGCCUCGGCGGAUCAGCCCGCGCCCCGUAAAACGGGACGGCCCGCCAGAGGACCCAAACUCUAAUGUUUCUUAUUGUAACUUCUGAGUAAAACAAACAAAUAAAUCAAAACUUUCAACAACGGAUCUCUUGGUUCUGGCAUCGAUGAAGAACGCAGCAAAAUGCGAUAAGUAAUGUGAAUUGCAGAAUUCAGUGAAUCAUCGAAUCUUUGAACGCACAUUGCGCCCGCUGGUAUUCCGGCGGGCAUGCCUGUUCGAGCGUCAUUUCAACCCUCAAGCCCCCGGGUUUGGUGUUGGGGAUCGGCUCUGCCCUUCUGGGCGGCGCCGCCCCCGAAAUACAUUGGCGGUCUCGCUGCAGCCUCCAUUGCGUAGUAGCUAACACCUCGCAACUGGAACGCGGCGCGGCCAUGCCGUAAAACCCCAACUUCUGAAUGUUGACCUCGGAUCAGGUAGGAAUACCCGCUGAACUUAAGCAUA